ACCCACUGCUUCUUCUUGGUCUGAGAAAUCAGUUGCUUGUGCUGUGUUGCCAGCUUCUUGAUUUCUUCUACAAAUUCUUCCUUACACUUUUCCUUUACUUGCUUACAUUUUCUGUCCAUCUCACCCUGCAUGUUGGCUACAGCUUUAUUUACAGCUUGUCUCUUUUCUUCUUCCAUUUCAGAACGCAGCUGGAAUGAAAAGACAACCCACAGUGCGUCAGCACACAACUUAACACAGACCAUCUACACUGGAACAGAAACUUAACACAACUUGCAUGAGAUGUUUACUGUGUACCAGGGGAAGGCACUAAGAAGAAUGGAAAAGUGAAUGGGGUCUACGUGAUCUUGAGUUUCAUUGCCUCAUUUGACAGCGGCAAGAGAUGCUGCCCACAGGUGUUAAGGUGACAGACUACUCUAGGACUGCUGCAGAUUAGCACCAUUAUUAUUAUUAUUUUUUUGAGACGGAGUCUCACUGUGUCGCCCAGGCUGGAGUGAAGUGGCACAGUCUCUGCUCACUGCAAGCUCUACCUCCCGGGUUCACGCCAUUCUCCUGCCUCAGCCUCCCAAGUAGGUGGGACUACAGGCACACACCACCACGCAUGGCUAAUUUUUCAUAUUUUUAGUAGAGACGGGGUUUCACUGUGUUAUCCAGGAUGGUCUCGAUCUCCUGACCUCAUGAUCCAGCCGCCUCGGCCUCCCAAAGUGCAGGGAUUACAGGCGUGAGCCACCGUGCCUGGCCUAACCCAAAUAUUCUUUAAAAAUAUUUUCUGCAUAGUAUACUGAAUGACAUCUAACAAGUUAACUCAUUAUUAAUAUCACUCAUGGUUGAAGACAGUAUAAAGCUACUUGCAAGUUGAUGAAAAAGAAAAAUAUAUAGAUAAAAAGUUCUAAUUAUCAGAUUAUUCUUACCUAUUAGUAUGGCUAUAAAAAUAACUGAAUUCUUGUUUUUUCUAAGUUAACUGUGUUUUAUUUAAUGUGAAAAACAUUGAAGCAAACUUUCCCCCGUUAUUCCUUGAAUAUCUGUUGUAUUAUAAAAGCUGACAUUUAUUGAGUACUCACUAUGUGCUAGGUACUAUGCUCAGGUCUCUCUGUAGCAACAUUUCUUUAAACCUUACAAAAACUCUUAUGAGGCCUUUAUUUUGCUAAGGCUCAGAGAAACUGACUAAUGUAUCAAGAUUAGGGUAGAAGACAGUGAAGCAAGAACACAAUCUCACAUAAAGACUUACCCUAACCUACCAAAAAUACAUUAUUUCCUUGCCUAUUCUGAUAAGAAACUGAAACCAUCCGAGUAUGAUGUAUUAAGCAUAUGUUAAAAAUUACCACUUAAUGUAAUUAAAACAUUCAUUUUGUAUUGAGUUAUUUUAUUGGAUCAUUAUUUAAUGUUUCUUGACAUGACAGUGUCAGGUAAGUGUGUAUCUACCUAUGAAAGAACAGAACUACCUUCUGGGAAAUUUACAGUAUUUAUAGGUUUCUUAUAACUACACUUCUGUUUAAAUUAAAUUAAUGAAGACUAAGUAAAAAUUUACCACAGGGAGGAGUAAGGUCCCUCAUUGUGUAGCUUCUCUAUGCACUAAUAACCUCCUGGCAUGACAGGAGACACCUCAUGGACUGUUCAUUUAAAUCCUUACAAAGUAUGACUUUUAGAUCAUGUAGCUGGUUUCUGUCACUUUUUCACCUUAUCUCAAUAUCUGUGUUAAAUGAACCAAAUAAAUUGCAUGUGAAUUCUUUAUUCCUAUUAUGGCUUAUUUCCACGCACGCUUCAGGUAUUUACACACAUUGUAAGAUCACAAGAUUGACGAUUUUAGUCUAUAUGUCUUUAACUGAGCCUUGAAGAUGGCUGGAGCAACUAGAGUAACUGUGAAUAUGGUAAUGGUAAUUCCAUUACCAUAUUAUGGAAUGGACACAUUCUGAGGCCCUUCUGCCCACUGUACUAUAAAUUCAGUCUUAACCGUAAUGUGCUUCUGAAGUUCAACAGUGUCAGUUAUUAAAAAUUCCUGUUUAGUACACAAUAUCUGAAAAAUAUCUG
rnacentral:lncRNA from 1 species